GUAAACUGUCAUUGUGCAGGUCAGGCUGUCUUCGGACAGCUUGUUAAACGGGGAAGCUGGUGUGAAUCCGGCGCUGUCCCGCAACGGUGAUGGGAAACGAUUUCCCAAAGUCCGACUACCGGCCUGCCGCCACCACCAUGG
rnacentral:ncRNA from 1 species